GUGAGGGUCAAAGUUAUUCUAAAGUCACGGCAGUGAGAGACAGUGCCCUCAAGAGAAAUGGAGAAGUUUAGCAAGAGAGGAGAAAGUGCAUGAGCUGACUUUUGGACAUACCGAGUUGAAGAGUGUGUUCAACACCCAAUUGGAAAAGUUCAAUAGGCAGUUAGUCAAACAGAGCUGGGAUUUAAAGGAGAGACCUGAGCUGGAUAGAUAGAACCGGGCGUGAUCUUUUUAGAGAUGAGAUCUGAACCUCUGGGAGCAGAUGAAGGCACUAAAAUGGGAUAGAGAGACCGAGGGCCCAGGAGAGAACUCUGCAGUAAAUCCACAUACAGGAGCCAAGGUGCACCUUGAAGAGACUCAAUGGUGGUUUGGGGGCUGCCCUGACGAAGGCUCCCCUAGAAGCUGUCCUUAGUCCGAACUGCAUUGUGGAACACCACUUUAACCAUGGCACUAAGAGCCCCUCGUCUGAAGUUGAGGUUUGAAGAAUAAGUUCCUUGUAAACAGGAAGGUUUAUUUGAUUUUGCUUUUGAAGUGCCAUGCAAUAUUAAAUGUAAAGCCUGGAAUGGCUUAUUCAAAUAAUUAAAAUGAUACAAUACUAAGAAGAGGAAAGCUUUCAUCAAAGGACGUGGACUCCGCUACCAAGAUCCUGGGCUCUGAUAGGAUCCUCUUCAGUAGCCUAGAAGAGCAUCCCUGAAGAACAGAACUGAAUCUAGUUCAUUUAUCCAAGUCAAUACCACAGCUUUCCAGCACCUUUAAUAAUUUCCUUCCAAGAGGAGGGAACAACAGAGGAGAUCAUGGCAAGCUCUGUCUCUACCUCCAGGCAGGACCACACCUAAACCAGCCUAGACUAUUGAUUUGUCUGCUGGCAUUAACAUCACACUCUAAACAUCCAACACCGAAGAUUCUGCCCCACCAAACCUCUUCAAAGUUUUUUGAUUUUUCACACUUAGAUCAUGUUGGAAAAAGAAAACCCCAAUGAUUCAGGUUGCCUCAUAUUUUCAGAAGAGAAAAAAAAAAAACCCAGCCCAACCCAACACCCAUACUACAAUGUAAUUUUAACCGAUAACUAAGGAUGACGCCUGUCAUGCAAAGUUAAAGCUUAUAUGAAAAAAAAAAAAGACUAAGCAAAAUCAA